GCACUCGUGGUUCAGUGGUAGGAUGCCCGCCUGCCGCGCAGGCGAUCUGGGUUACGAUUCCUGGCUGAUGCG